rnacentral:pre_miRNA from 1 species
AAUGUUUGAUGCCGUUGACUUUUUAGCACAUGUUUGACCGUUCGUCUUAUUCAAAAAAUUUAAGUAAUUAUUAAUUCUUUUCCUAUCAUUUGAUUCAUUGUUAAAUAUAUUUUUAUGUAGACAUAUAAUUUUACAUAUCUCAUAAAAGUUCUUGAAUAAGACGAACGGUCAAACAUGUGAUAAAAAGUCAACGGCGUCAAACAUU